UACGUAGGGCGCAAGCGUUGUCCGGAAUUAUUGGGCGUAAAGAGCUCGUAGGCGGUUUGUCGCGUCUGCUGUGAAAACCUAAGGCUCAACCUUGGGCUUGCAGUGGGUACGGGCAGACUAGAGUGCGGUAGGGGUGACUGGAAUUCCUGGUGUAGCGGUGGAAUGCGCAGAUAUCAGGAGGAACACCGAUGGCGAAGGCAGGUCACUGGGCCGCAACUGAC
rnacentral:rRNA from 1 species